rnacentral:lncRNA from 1 species
GGAACUCAUAGCAAGUAUGAUCAUAUCCUUAACUCAAAGGAUUUAUAAGUUCAAUCUUGACUUUACACUAGCUCUAGUGUUCUUUCAUCACUUUUUAUUGCCACUCUAGCAAUCAUUGUUCUUUACCAUUCAUUACUCUUGCUAACUCUAGCAAUUAUAUUCUUUACAUUCUUUACUUUUGGCUACCUCUAGCACUUCAUGUUCUUUACUCCCCACAUUACUUUAACUUUAAACAUUGUCAUUUUCAUCAUUCUUUACAAUACAUUGGUUCUUUACCUCACACUAUCUCUAGUGUCAUUUCACUUUAACUUUAUCGAAUGCCACUCGAUCUAUGUCAUUGUGUCACUCUGUUCUUUUGCUCACUUUGGGUGCUCACUU